UCAAAUCUUGGAGGCGAUGAACCGUGUGUCCCCAAUCUGGGCACCAAGGGGCACGGGGAGCCAGUGGUGCAACCGGCCAAGAAGAUG
rnacentral:ncRNA from 2 species